CCUACGGGAGGCAGCAGUGGGGAAUUUUGGACAAUGGGGGCAACCCUGAUCCAGCAAUGCCGCGUGAGUGAAGAAGGCCUUCGGGUUGUAAAGCUCUUUUGUCAGGGAAGAAACAGCAGCUCUAACACAGUCUGCGAAUGACGGUACCUGAAGAAUAAGCACCGGCUAACUACGUGCCAGCAGCCGCGGUAAUACGUAGGGUGCGAGCGUUAAUCGGAAUUACUGGGCGUAAAGCGUGCGCAGGCGGUUAUACAAGACAGGCGUGAAAUCCCCGGGCUUAACCUGGGAAUGGCGUCUGUGACUGUAUAGCUAGAGUGUGUCAGAGGGGGGUGGAAUUCCACGUGUAGCAGUGAAAUGCGUAGAUAUGUGGAGGAACACCAAUGGCGAAGGCAGCCCCCUGGGAUAACACUGACGCUCAUGCACGAAAGCGUGGGGAGCAAACAGGAUUAGGUACCCUGGUAGUCCACGCCCUAAACGAUGUCAACUGGUUGUUGGGUCUUCACUGACUCAGUAACGAAGCUAACGCGUGAAGUUGACCGCCUGGGGAGUACGGCCGCAAGGUUGAAACUCAAAGGAAUUGACGG
rnacentral:rRNA from 1 species